UAAGUCCUUGAUUUAUACAAUUUCAAGUUUUAUGUUUAAGAAAAAUGCAGAUGUUUUUUUUAUAUUUUUAAACAAAUAAAAAUAUUGGUUAAAUAGUUUGUUUUUUUGGAAAAAAUCACUUAUGGCUUUAAAUUUUUAUAUCUGUUCUUAUUAUUUUUAUUUAAGAUUCUGUUGAUCAGCAUGAAUAUUUAUAAUCAGAAGAUCCCUGACUUAUGAUGGCCCAGUUACAAUGAUCUAUACUUAUAAAAAUGAUUAUAUAUAACAAAAAUCCCUACAGUCAGCAGCUACAAUCAAUGAUUUUGAAUAAUAGUGGCCAAUUAAUUGGCUGGAUGACCAAAUAGCCUCAGGAUGGAAGCAUUCUUUGUUUCAACCAUGGAGUAUUUUACGUAAUUCUGAAUUUCAGAUCUGAUUUUAGAUGUCUAGUUUUAGCCCAUUUAACAUCAUUCUUCACUUGAUUGCUCACUGUACCACAGAUGUAGACAGCUUGUGGUGAGAAUUGGGAUGAUCAAUUGUUUAGUAUCUAAUAAAUAAGAAAGAAGUAUAUAAUAUAAAGAAAAAAAUGGUGCCAAUGCUAGUCUUUAAUGCUUUUUUUAUGAGAGUUAGAUUUUUAUUUUUUGUAUGUGGUUUGAUGCUGCUUUCUGUUCAAUGUUUGAGAUACUUAUUAUAUAAACUGAUAGUCUGGCACUUCUCGGCAGUAAACACACACUUUUGUUGUCAAUCGCAAAUGUUUUCGGCACCUUUGGCUGCCAUCAUCGGGCUUGCGCAGAAUCCAGAAAAAACAGAAAAUGGUUUUUCUGGAUUUUGUGUGGGCCUGAUGAUGGUGGCUAGAGCUGCCGAAAACGUUUGCGAUUGAUAGUGGAGGUGUGUGUUUGCUGCUGAGAAGUGCUGGAUUGUCAGUUUAUAUAAUAAGUAACUUAACAUAAAAGCAGUUGAAAGUAAACAUGGAGUGGUGAGAUAUUUUAGGCCAAUCAUACCCUGAUGAAGUUAGUCAUCAGGUGGAGAAUGGGGGG
rnacentral:lncRNA from 1 species